rnacentral:ncRNA from 1 species
AUAAAAACCAUGAAGAGAAUAAGUAGCUGUAAAUGACUGAUUUCAGAGAUUUUCCGGUUGGUGCGAGGAAAAAUAUAUGCUUUGCAGUGAAUUACAUCUUGGAGUUUGCUCCUUGAAUAAGUAGGGGAGUACGGGUAUGCCCGUUACAGCUUUCAGAGGUCGGAUAUUCCGAUAAACUGAGGUGGUACCACGAGUAAUUUCGUCCUCAGA